UCGCACGCGAAAAGGGGCAACCCUGAGUAAAGUGGCGCACGGGUGCGUAACACGUAGAUAACCUGCCCUUCGAAGGGGGAUAACGUCCCGAAAGGGACGCUAAUACCGCAUACAGCUAAGUCUAGUUUGCUGGACUUGGGCAAAGGUAGGGACCGGCAACGGCCUAUCGUCGAAGGAGGGGUCUGCGGCCCAUCAGCUAGUUGGUGAGGUAAUGGCUCACCAAGGCAGAGACGGGUAGCUGGUCUGAGAGGAUGAUCAGCCACACUGGUACUGGAACACGGACCAGACUCCUACGGGAGGCAGCAGUGGGGAAUCUUGGUCAAUGGGCGCAAGCCUGAACCAGCGAUGCCGCGUGAGUGAUGAAGGCCUUCGGGUUGUAAAGCUCUGUGGGGAGGGACGAAAGAAUCGGUUCUAACAGGACCGAAGUUGACGGUACCUCCUUAGCAAGCACCGGCUAACUCUGUGCCAGCAGCCGCGGUAAGACAGAGGGUGCAAACGUUG
rnacentral:rRNA from 1 species